AUUGAACGCUGGCGGCAUGCCUUACACAUGCAAGUCGAACGGCAGCACGGGAGCAAUCCUGGUGGCGAGUGGCGAACGGGUGAGUAAAGUAUCGGAACGUGCCCAGUCGUGGGGGAUAACGUAGCGAAAGUUACGCUAAUACCGCAUACGAUCUAUGGAUGAAAGCGGGGGAUCGCAAGACCUCGCGCGAUUGGAGCGGCCGAUAUCAGAUUAGGUAGUUGGUGGGGUAAAGGCUCACCAAGCCGACGAUCUGUAGCUGGUCUAAGAGGACGAGCAGCCACACUGGGACUGAGACACGGCCCAGACUCCUACGGGAGGCAGCAGUGGGGAAGUUUGGACAAUGGGCGAAAGCCUGAUCCAGCCAUGCCGCGUGCAGGGUGAAGGCCUUCGGGUUGUAAACUGCUUUUGUACGGAACGAAAAGGUUUGGCCUAAUAAGCUGAGCUCAUGACGGUACCGUAAGAAUAAGCACCGGCUAACUACGUGCCAGCCGCCGCGGUAA
rnacentral:rRNA from 1 species